rnacentral:rRNA from 1 species
GCCGCGUCAAUCAUUUUCAUUUGCGGCCCCAAGUCAGGCGAGACCACCCGCCGAGUUUAAGCAUAUCA